AAAUGGGCAAAGAAGACAGGAUUUGUUGUGAAGAUUUUCCAGAUUUUUUCAAGAAAUGUGCAGAAUCACAGCGUGUUGUAUGUAGUAAUGAAACUGCAAGCAGUGGUUUCAUAAAGAUAGACAUGCUUAAGACCUGGAUGAUAUGGCUUUAGUUGUGGAUGACCAUUUCCAUUCAGGAAAAAAUCCCAACCAAGUCCAGCUAGCAGACUGUACACCAGAUUGAAGAUACAUCAUUAAUACAAGAUGAAAAAAGAUUAAUGGAGGACGAGGAUAAUACUAUGAAAGAGCAAGAGCAACCGUUCCCAUAGAAAUACAUGCAGCCAUGUCAACAGAAACCAGUUUUCACCUGCCAGGUGCUGGUCACAUUUAUAUUCAACAUGGGAACAGAUUCAAGAAACAGAUCCAGUUGUUUGCUGAUAAAUUACUGCAGGUCAUUGGUAUCAUCUAGAACCAGGACUGUUUUAAAAAUCAUUCUAGUAUAUUUGGAACAAAAUCAUGCUAGUAUAUGUUAGGAAUUUAA